GUACUGUUUUCUCUCUUUUUUUUUUUUAAUAGUAUAAAAUAAAACUUCCUGUUUAAAGGGCCCGGGAUAAAGCAACAAUGAAGGGCGCAUUGCUAUGGCCUUAGGACAUAACUAGGAACAUAACUCAGCACUUAUUCUAACAAGAGCUUGGACGGGAUUGCAAACGCUGUGUUUGAUGAGGAUUGCUGCAGUAGGCAAAACAAGAUAUUGCAGUGACCAAAAGUGUCCUGCAUCAUGACCUCCAUCUCUCCGGCAUGUGGGGAGCACAGCAAGGACCGUCAGGAAAGAUUUUUUUUUUCCUGAUGUAUUAAACCACACAGCAUUCCUUCACUUCUUCACAUUCAGCUGCGUGUUGAAAGACUGAAGAAAAUGAUACAUUAAAUGCAAAGGAAAACAUUUAACAGCCCCAUUCAUAACAAUAAUACUGAAAGCCAUGAAUCUUCAGAAGCAGGUCAUGGAAAAGACCGGCUAAAAAGACCAUGAUAUGAAAACAGAGAGAUCCAGGAGACCCAAAUGGCGCAACUCAUCUGAUACUAAGUCUCCAGAUUCGGUUUCCUGAAAUUUGAUGACAUGUACGACCACAAGAACGAAGCUGUUUCAGCAUAAAAAGCUAAUGCGAAGGAAGUCCAGGCACAGAUGUUCUGCAAGUGUCUCCUUUUUUUUCCUCCGUUCCAUUCAGUUCUUGGGCUUAUUCCUUUUGAUUUUUUUUUUUACCUGGCAAUUUCCACACGUAAAAAAAAAAAAGAUAAAUAUCACUUUCUCCAAGUAAACUCCUAACGUUAGGGGUCAACAAGCUGCAAAAGUUCUGCUAUAUAAACAUACAGUAAACUGGCUAAUUUAUUGAGCAAAUACGCAGAGAUGUAGAAACUGUGAAAG